AACCUGGUUGAUCCUGCCAGUAGCAUAUGCUUGUCUCAAAGAUUAAGCCAUGCAUGUCUAAGUACAAGCCUCACUAAGGUGAAACCGCGAAUGGCUCAUUAAAUCACACCUAAUCUACUGGAAAGUCCCCAGUUACUUGGAUAACUGAGGUAAUUCUUGAGCUAAUACAUGCGAGAAAACCCGACUCACGGAGGGUUGCUUUUAUUAGAUCAAAACCAAACGGCAGCAAUGCCGUCCACCUUGGCGAUUCUGAAUAACUUUGGGCCGAUAGCAUUGCCUUGCGCAGGCUACGUUUCCUUCAAAGUGUGCCCUAUCAACUUUCGACUGUGACAGAGAUGAUCACAGUGGUUUUGACGGGUAACGGGGAAUCAGGGUUCGAUUCCGGAGAGGGAGCCUUAAAAACGGCUACCACAUCCAAGGAAGGCAGCAGGCACGCAAAUUACCCAAUGGUCGCAGACCGAGGUAGUGACGAAAAAUAACAAUACUGGACUCUUCCGAGGCCCAGUAAUUGGAAUGAGUACACUUUAAAACCGUUCCCGAGGAUCUAUUGGAGGGCAAGUCUGGUG
rnacentral:rRNA from 1 species